rnacentral:tRNA from 1 species
GGCCCCAUGGUGUAAUGGUUAGCAGUCUAGACUCUGAAUCUAGUGAUCCAAGUUCAUAUCUCGGCGGGACCU